UAAAAUUUCUCUGUAUGUGCCCAGACUCAU
rnacentral:piRNA from 1 species